rnacentral:lncRNA from 1 species
GUUCUAAAUGACACCCUGGUGGCCUCACAGAGUCGAUGCGUCUCCCUGAAUGCUCCGGCUUAUUACUCAAGAGUGCUUUAGGCAUUGAGAAGGAAUAGGAUCACAAUAACUUUGUCAGUUCCAGCCUCCCUAGGCUCUCAAGUGAAGACACUUGUUUCUUCAAUUUAGAGGAACAGUACUCUCAUUUCCGGAACCAGUUCUGACCAAGCUUAGCAAUAUUAGCACACUCAUACUCACAGAUAGCUGAGCAGAGCAAGUAUUUGCCUUACUCGAUUAUCUUAAAGAACCGGCGUACCUGGAAUCAGCUCUGGGCCCUCAUAUAUUUUUCGAAUUCCUUCCUUUUCCUGUUAGAAGUCUGUCCUGGUUCCCAGCAGCUUCCUUUAAGUGAGACCGGUGGAAGAGUCAUGCUUGGAGAUGCAACAGCAACUGAGACUGCCCAUUUCCCUCGCUUGGUACAGUAA